UUGUUUCUUGAAACGUCAAACUAUUUCAAAAAUGUCCACUCAAAGCCGUUACACAACGUAAAUAAUACAAAUUGCUAUGUUUUUAUUGUUAAUUGUUAUAAAUUACAAUAAAAACCAGGAACUUUAUUGAGUUAUAUUAAUGAAUUAUGGAAAGAGAUGAGGUCGACAAAACAAAUGAUGCGGGGACUUCGAACGACGAUUCUCGCGGUGCUGUGAAUUCUUUGAUUCUCGAUUACUACAAAAAGUUUGGUAGGAAGAGGGAUUUAGAACAGUAUUUCUCUUUAUCUACGGCUCAGAGUGAUAUUAAGGACACCAGUGGUUUGUUUUGGCGUAAAAUGAAAAGUGAAAACGAUUCUUCGGAUUCCGGUGGACGAAAGAGUGAUUCUUCGCAAGAAGUUUGCAGAAUCUCUAUACGGUGCUCUCUGCCUGAACAUACUAGUUCACAGGAUGACGAAGAACAAAAAACAAAGACUGAUUCCCCACACACUGAAUCUCCUCCGAUCAUCAUCGAGGAGGCACCCGCUGAUGUAUCAAGGCAGACUGAUGACGAAUCCUUCCACUUUGAUGAUAAUAACUCACAGAAAUCUUUAGAUGCACUUCUUGACUUAUCUACACACAAGCCGCUGUCCCCUACUAGUAGUAUCACUUCUCAGAGAAAACUAGAAUGGGACUCCCUUGCUGAUGUUGGAUAUGGCAACGAAAGUGACAGAAAGAACUCGGCAUCAAGUCUUAGCACUUUAGAAAGACUCGCUUUAAAACAACAAUACUCUAACAAUGAUUCCAAGCAAGAAAUUGGAAUACCCACCUCACAUUCUACUCCAAUAGAUGAAAAUGACAACAAAACUAAAGCUAAAAAAGGCAUAGGAAAGAAGACAAAGUUUUACAAAAAAGAUGUUGAUUUCGUUGAAGUUAAUGUACCACAUACUUCAGACGCAAAUCCUCCUCCAUCCAUCAAUGUCAAUCUUACUAAACAUAUUUCUUUUAAUGUUGAAAGAGACGGUGGUGUCACUAUUGAUAAUAUUAAGAAGGAUGUCAGUGUGUCAUCUCCCGAAAAAGUCAAUGUAGAAACGUCUUGUGUAGGCAUGGACAAAGAAAUACAAACUACACUGCCUUUGAACAAACCAAAGGAGAAGUCCAGCAGUUCAGAUGCCCCAAAACCAGUUGAUCCUUACAAUCAGAAGAUUCCCGUAAUGAUCAGCUUAAAUACUCUAAGAAAGAGAUUGAGAAAGAAAAAGGCCAGGAAUGUGAGAAGAAAAUUGAGAACUAGAAAGCAGAAAGAAGUUAAUAAGGAUGAAACGCCUCAAGAGAAAAGUGGAGCUCAGUUGUCAGAAGCAGAGAGUUUUGAAUACAUGCCUGGACAUGUGUAUAAUCAGAACAAGCUAAAAGACAAUGCACCAAGACUGGACACUAGUGCUGCUGGGAACAAAUCCAGUUUGGAGUCCAGUGGCCUCACUACAGACUCCAGCAAAGGAUCCAAACAUUCUCUCACCAAAGAUUUAGAACAAUGUAUUGAGCUGUUAAAGCAUACUUUGCAAAAGCGCUAUGAUGAUGGAGAUAUGAAGAGAAAGUUGAUUAAAGAUAUUGUGGAGAGGUUAGUCAGCUCGAAAUAUAGAAAUGACUAUAAUUCUGACUUUUUGUCUGGAAUCAGCAGCAAGAGAUUAGGUAUGAAAGGAAAUAAUACUACUACAAGCACUUCUGAUGCUAAUAAUACUGAAGAUAGUUCAAAUAAAAAGCCAAAGAAAUCUAUUCUACGAAGCGAAAAAUUUAAUGCUAAUGUUGUAGCUUCUACCUCGCAAAGUGCCCCAAACUUAUUCAGUGCCUCUAUUGAAAAGGUUACAAACUUAGUUAAGCCUGUAGCUUCUAAUACUGAAUCAGAUGUGUCUAGUAAAGAAAAGACUUCUUCAGAAAAUGGUUUCCCUAAAACCUCAUCUGAAGAGCUGUAUUUAAAAUACCUAGAAGCUCUUAGACGUGAAGAAGCCUACAAAAAACAUUUGAAGGAUAAAGAAAUGUUCUUGAAACAGAAGUUAGUGAAGUCUGACACAUCUUUCAAAGUACCUGUAAGUCAGGAAGCGAAAAUUAACAGUCGACUGAAAGAUUUGAUGAAAGACUUGACAAGAAACAACUAUGAUGAUGGAUCAGGGGAUGCUAGUAAAUUGGAAGGAGGCUCUUCUACCAAUUUGGACAUAGACAGAUUAAGUGCCAUACGAAACCAAAGAAGUCACUCUGUGUUUACUCUUUCCUCGAGUCAAUCUGAUGCCCCUAAACGGUCGAAUUUGAAAAAGAAAAUGCAGGCUGAGAGGGAGAUGGAAGAAGCUGGUCCAAGUCAGGGUCACUAUUGUUGUUGUCCUCACCAUUACUUAAACACCAAAACGGAGUUUUCAGACAGCUCUGUUCAGGUGAAUAUUAAACAUUGUGGCGACGAUGUUCCAGUUGAAAUGCCUUGCCAGAGUAAAGGAAAAGGUUGUUUCAAAACGUCAGGCGAUGGCAAGAAGUCCAAAUCGGAAUGCCCCAAAAAUGCUCGCGUUGUUCCUGACAGUCACACGGGAGAUAUUAAGUACGUAUGUGUCUGUGGUGGUAAACAAGUGUCUGCGGCUGAAGUCGGCGACAAUUUCAUGAUCUACAGGUGCUCUAAAGUGACUAAUCGUGGCAUACAACCCGAAGAUCCUUCGAGAAUGAAUAACACUGGUAUUCAAUGUGGAUGUUGUGAAAUUAAAGAUGAUAGCAUUGAAUUACUACAACCACCUUGUAAGAUGAAUACUUGUACAGAAAGCAGUAGUACGGAUAGCACGUCAAAUCCUCGCAGACAUUCGAAGGCUUCUCAAACGAAUAUGCUCAUUAACAUGUGCUUAGGCAUGAAUAACUACAAAUCUUCGAGUUCCGAAAUAAAAUUAUGUGGAACUGCCACUAAAAGUAUUUUGGGUACGAAAAAGCACUUUGUGUGUGAAGCCACUAGAUGCCUUCAGACCGAAAUUAGUAUAAACCCUCAAAUCGCUGAUCCCAGGUUGUCUGACAUCAAUAUUAUUUGUAACAACGAAUGUGCUAGACUUAUCUCUGAACAACGUAGAAGAGUUUCUGCAUACAGUAUAGAGUCUGAAGGAGGUAAAACGUUUAGCGAUGUCAGUACUAACAGCACAUCAGACAAGCUUUUAAUGCAACCUGGAGACAGUUGUUGUAAAUCAGAAAUAACAUCUAAACAGGGCCACGAAGGUACAGAGUCUAAACAGAGCUUGAUUGGAAAGGAUUAUACAAUACCCAUUCUCGGUACUAAUAUGACUUUAACAGUGAAUUUGGGCCCUGAUCUUGUCAAAAAGUCCGGGCCAGUUGAAGCAGGUGUGGUUACUGAGAAGAUAUCACAAGCUGAUCAAGAAACGUUAGCGGUUGGUGAAGUAUCAAGAUCUGCACAGUGUUGCUUGAAUCCAGAGUGCUCUAAAAUUUCCAAAACAGAUGCUGUGGCUCCGCCCAAAACCACGUGUUGUUCAAAGGAUAAAUCUUCUGGCGUUACUUACAAUACGUAUCCUACUGAAACAGUGAAGGAAAAAUCUCCUUUCAAACGAUCAAACACAGAUAUAGAAAAGAAAUUAUCAAUAAACACUUGCAUGCAAACUGAUGUGAUUCAAAUGAGAGAUAUGGAGACAAAUCAAGGAACUGGAAUGGAUAUCAACUAUUCUUCAGUUAACACGUGUGAGAACAGUAGUCAAGUAGGAGGAGCACAAACCGUUAAUCUAGCACUAACAAAAGGACCCAGAAUUGGUCGCAAUACAAAAGAUAGCACUAAAACGGAUAGUAACAGAUCUCCACGUCGCAAAGCCGAUUGUUGUAGCCCGAAUAAAAACACGAAUAGAAGUACAAAAAGCAAUACAAAUGAUUCAAAAUCUCCUAGCCGUAAGGCGGAUAGUCCAAGGAGAAAUAGGAUUGAUAGUCCGAUUAAUAAAAAGAGGGAUAGUAGCGGACCAGACAGCGCAAGAAGUAAUAAGAGUGGAACAAAAUCUGAUAGUGGCAAAGCUGAUUGCUGUAGUUCGAAAAAUAAAAAUGCUGAUAGUAUCAAAACUGGUAGUUCAAGAAGUAAUAAGAGUGAAUCAAAAACUGAUAGUGGUAAGGGCGAUUGCUGUUCAAGAAGUAAUGAGAAUGAACCAAAAUCUGAUAGCAGUAGUGGCAGGACAGACAGUGCUAGAAGAAAGCAUAUUGAAUCGUUAAAUAGAAUUGAGAAAGUAAAUGUCGGUGUGCAAAAAGACUUACCAAGUGAACAAAUGAAAAUGAAGAAUGCUGACGUAGAAACUAAUGAUAUACCAACCAAAAAUGCUAGCAUUGAAACUGAAAAUGGAAAAGACUCUGGCUCAAAUGCCUGUUGUCAGACGGAAGAUAAAGAAAAGUCUAGUUCCCAAGAAAAAGACAGGACAAAUGCCCCAGAGAAAGUGCCAAUGUCUUUCGACAAUGAGCUAAAAGAUAGGAAUUCACCAGAAAGUUGCUGCUUCAAUGUCAAGUGUCCUCAUAACUUUAAUAGUAACAAAGGACCCAUCAUAGAUAUGAUACAAGACAUAACACGACGAUAUUCCAAAAAGGAUUUGAUUAAGAUUAAAAAGAACAAAUGCUUUUCGGAAAUAAUUACAGUUCUGAACUAUCUUUUGGAGACCGACGAUAGUACAGAUCCGGAGCGAAAGACUUGUUGUAGCACGAGCACGGAUACGAAAUCAAGUUCAGAUAAAGAGAAAAUGAGUAAACUGUCCGAAUGUUGUUCGGAUCGAAUGGUGGACAAAAGCGUACAGCUUUCGUGCACGAAAUCUUCUAAAGUGACUAGAGUUUGCACGGAUUCCUCUGAUCUCCCUUGCUCUUCAGACUUACCUACGACAUCAUCAGAUUCCGCUGCCUGCAAAGUACUAAACAAGAUCAAGAAGGAAUGCGAGAAAUUUCACCAAAAAGUAAAAUGCAAGGGCAGAAAAUGCGAAGUUUCUAGCAGCACUUCUGUUAACUGCGAAAAAUGUAAGAAAGUUCACCACUGUGCCUGCAGAAGUCACAAGUGUAAGCGAUCAAAGGCCUUUGAGAAGUUGCAGAAGAAAUGUAUCGCUUACAACUUGAUAAUACAGACUUCGGAGAGUAUGUUGAGUGAGGAGACUGUUUGUGAGAACAAGAGUCGUCCUCUUAAGAAUAUUAUAUUGAAAGUCCCGAAAAAAGGGAAGAAGGAGGGUUGUUAUAAAGUGGAGCAAUGUUCUCGACGGACGAGUCCGGUGUGUAGUCCUAAGUGUAGUAAGAGUAGGCCGAAGAGUUGCCGCCACGACAGCGAAACAUCUGAUGAAUACGCCAAGAGAAUGGAGAUGGCGACUGUUAGGGAGUAUUUGGAACAGAAUCGUCCGGACUUCGUGAAGAACACAUCUCAGAGACAAGAUUGUCUGAAGGUCGUCAGUGAGAGAAGAAAUGAACGAGAUCAAUACCCAAGUUUGAAAAUGGUUGUUGUACACAAACCCAGAUGUAUGGGUAAUGUGUCAUCUGCCCCUGUUUACUGUGGAGGUAUGUGCUACAAAAGUUGCGAUUCAGUCGAGUCAUGCAUACCCUAUGCGAGCGCGCCUUGUGUGUCAUGCAACCCAUGCGAACUUACCAAGCCGUGCAUGCCACAUAAUGCAUGCACACAGAAUCCUUGCGAGCCGUGCUGCGACCCCUGCAGUCCCUGCACCCCUUGCUAUGGUUCUUGUAGUCGAUGUAUAGAUCCCUGUAAUAUGCGUUCCUUACAAACUAUCGAGCCAGCGAACGGGCUGCAAAGCGCGACCUGUUAUCAUUGCACGUGGAAAAACAACCAGAUUUAACGAAGCUCACCUCUGAGGAGCUACGGCAACUUGCCAAAGACAUCGGACUAGAUUUGCGAAAGAAAAGAACUGCCCCAAAAUUCAUCAAUGAACGUGAAAUGAAAAAACAUUCGGAGAAGAUUUACAAAACCUUGCCGGAAGUGGUGCAAAAGAAGGAAGAAAUGAAAAAGGAAAAUAUCAAGAAGACUAAUUUAUUGAUGGCUAAUAUAUUUAAAAAG